rnacentral:rRNA from 1 species
UCUGAUUAGCUAGUUGGUGGGGUAAGAGCCUACCAAGGCGACGAUCAGUAGCUGGUCUGAGAGGAUGAUCAGCCACACUGGGACUGAGACACGGCCCAGACUCCUACGGGAGGCAGCAGUGGGGAAUUUUCCGCAAUGGGCGAAAGCCUGACGGAGCAAUACCGCGUGAGGGAGGAAGGCUCUUGGGUUGUAAACCUCUUUUCUCAGGGAAUAAGAAAGUGAAGGUACCUGAGGAAUAAGCAUCGGCUAACUCCGUGCCAGCAGCCGCGGUAAUACGGAGGAUGCAAGCGUUAUCCGGAAUGAUUGGGCGUAAAGCGUCCGCAGGUGGCUGUGUAAGUCUGCUGUUAAAGAGUCUAGCUCAACUAGAUAAAAGCAGUGGAAACUACACGGCUAGAGUGCGUUCGGGGCAGAGGGAAUUCCUGGUGUAGCGGUGAAAUGCGUAGAGAUCAGGAAGAACACCGGUGGCGAAAGCGCUCUGCUAGGCCGCAACUGACACUGAGGGACGAAAGCUAGGGGAGCGAAAGGGAUAGUACCCCCCCGUAUAAAAAA